UACGUAGGGUGCGAGCGUUAAUCGGAAUUACUGGGCGUAAAGGGAGCGUAGGCGGCAAUUCAAGUCAGUUGUGAAAUCUCCGAGCUUAACUCGGAACGGUCAACUGAUACUGUUUUGCUAGAGUACAGAAGGGGCAAUCGGAAUUCUUGGUGUAGCGGUGAAAUGCGUAGAUAUCAAGAGGAACACCUGAGGUGAAGACGGGUUGCUGGGCUGAUACUGACGCUGAGGCUCGAAAGCUAGGGUAGCAAACGGG
rnacentral:rRNA from 1 species